CCAGGGCUACACACGUGCUACAAUGGCCGGUACAAAGCGUCGCCAACCCGUGAGGGGGAGCCAAUCGCAAAAAACCGGUCUCAGUUCGGAUUGCGGUCUGCAACUCGACCGCAUGAAGCUGGAAUCGCUAGUAAUCGCGUAUCAGAACGAUGCGGUGAAUACGUUCCCGGGCCUUGUACACACCGCCCGUCACAUCACGAAAGUGGUUUGUACUAGAAGUCGCGAUUCGAACCGCAAGGACGAUAGCGCCCAAGGUAUGAAUCAUGAUUGGGGUGAAGUCGUAACAAGGUAGCUGUAGGAGAACCUGUGGCUGGAUCACCUCCUUU
rnacentral:rRNA from 1 species